UCCCAUUUUCGUUAGCUUUGUCCAAAUUUAUUUGCCAGAAUGGGUUCUAUUGGUUUGACAGAGAAGCCACAUGCAGUUUGCAUACCAUUCACAUAACCCCAAUGCUGCAAUUAACCAAACUCCUCCACUACAAGGGCUUUCACAUAACCUUUGUGAACACCGAAUUCAACCAUAGACGCCUUCUUAAAUCCCGAGGUCCCAACUCUCUUGAUGGCCUCCCAUCCUUUAGGUUCGAAACCAUUCCCGAUGGCCUCCCUCCAACAGAUAUCAAUGCCACCCAGGACGUAACCGCUCUAUGCGUUUCCACUAGAAAAAAUUGCUUAGCACCCUUCAGAGACCUUUUGUCAAAACUCAAUUCUUUGCCCGAUUCCCCUCCAGUUACUUGUAUAGUUUCUGAUGGUGGCAUGACCUUCACUCUUGAUGCAGCCGAAGAAUUGGGCAUUCCGGAAGUUCUUUUCCAGACACCAAGUGCUUGUGGCUUCAUGUGCUUCCUUCAGUGUGGCCCUCUCAUCGAAAAGGGCUUAAUACCUCUUAGAGAUGCUAGCUAUUUGACAAAUGGGUAUUUGGAUACUGAGAUAGAUUGGAUACCAGGCAUGAGAGGUAUCCGAUUGAGGGACAUCCCAAGCUUCAUCAGAAUCACAGACCCAAAUGAUUUCAUGCUGGAUUUUAUAUUGGUUGGGACUGCAAGAGCUAAAAGAGCUUCUGCCAUAAUUUUGAACACGUUUGAUGCGUUAGAGCAUGAAGUUUUAGAUGGACUAUCGACUUUGCUACCAGCUGUUUAUUCCGUUGGACCCCUACAUCUACAGCUUAAUCAGAUCCCAGCAGAUAACGAGUUGAAGUCCAUUGGAUCAAACCUGUGGACAGAAGAACCAGUGUGUCUUGAUUGGCUUGACUCUAAAGAACCUAACUCUGUGGUUUAUGUCAACUUUGGAAGUAUCACAGUUAUGACAACUGAGCAGCUGAUUGAGUUUGCUUGGGGACUUGCAAACAGCAACCAGACCUUUUUUUGGGUGAUCAGGCCUCACCUUGUUGGUGGGGAAGCAGCUGUGGUUCCACCAGAGUUUAUGCAAGAGACCAAAAAAAGGGGUCUAUUGGCAAGUUGGUGCCCUCAAGAACAAGUUCUGAGCCACCCGGCCGUAGGAGGGUUCUUGACACACAAUGGUUGGAACUCUACUCUUGAGAGUUUGUGUGGUGGAGUGCCCAUGAUCUGUUGCCCCUUCUUUGCAGAGCAACAAACCAAUUGUAGGUUCUGUUGCAGAGAGUGGGGCAUAGGCAUGGAGAUAGAGGGUGAUGUUAAAAGAAAUUACGUAGAGGGGCUUGUGAGAAAGUUAAUGGAGGGGGAGGAGGGCAAAGAGAUGAGGAAGAAAGCCUUGGAAUGGAAGAAGUUGGCAAAGGAGGCCACCACUGGUCCAAAUGGGUCAUCUUUUGUGGGUUUGGACAAACUGGUUAACCAGAUGCUUCUAUCUCCGAGGAAUUAGAAAUUUAGAAUUGAUUCAAAAUCUAUCUUGUUUUUACUUUGUAUUUGUCCAAGAAGUUUACCUAUUAAGCUUAAUACUGCUUCUAUCA